CACGUGAGAAACCAACCCUUCACUUCGGGAUAACCCAAGGAAACUUGGGCUAAUACCGGAUACCCAGAACGGAUCGCAUGAUCCACCCUGGAAAGCUCCGGCGGUGAUGGACGGUCUCGCGGCCUAUCAGCUAGUUGGUGAGGUAACGGCUCACCAAGGCAACGACGGGUAGCUGGAGUGAGAGCUCGAACAGCCACACUGGGACUGAGACACGGCCCAGACUCCUACGGGAGGCAGCAGUGGAGAAUCUUGCACAAUGGGCGAAAGCCUGAUGCAGCCACGCCGCGUGAGGGACGAAGG
rnacentral:rRNA from 1 species